CCUACGGGAGGCAGCAGUGGGGAAUAUUGGACAAUGGGGGCAACCCUGAUCCAGCCAUGCCGCGUGUGUGAAGAAGGCCCUCGGGUUGUAAAGCACUUUCAGUGAGGAAGAACGCCUGGUGGUUAAUACCCAUCAGGAAAGACAUCACUCACAGAAGAAGCACCGGCUAACUCCGUGCCAGCAGCCGCGGUAAUACGGAGGGUGCGAGCGUUAAUCGGAAUUACUGGGCGUAAAGCGCGCGUAGGUGGCUUGAUAAGCCGGUUGUGAAAGCCCCGGGCUCAACCUGGGAACGGCAUCCGGAACUGUCAAGCUAGAGUGCAGGAGAGGAAGGUAGAAUUCCCGGUGUAGCGGUGAAAUGCGUAGAGAUCGGGAGGAAUACCAGUGGCGAAGGCGGCCUUCUGGACUGACACUGACACUGAGGUGCGAAAGCGUGGGUAGCAAACAGGAUUAGAUACCCUUGUAGUC
rnacentral:rRNA from 1 species